CUAGCAUAUCAAUAAGCGGAGGAAAAGAAACCAACAGGGAUUGCCCUAGUAACGGCGAGUGAAGCGGCAACAGCUCAAAUUUGAAAUCUGGCUCUUUUAGGGUCCGAGUUGUAAUUUGCAGAGAGCGCUUUGGCGUUGGCAGCGGUCCAAGUUCUUUGGAACAGGACGUCACAGAGGGUGAGAAUCCCGUACGUGGUCGCUAGCCUUCGCCGUGUAAAGCCUCUUCGACGAGUCGAGUUGUUUGGGAAUGCAGCUCUAAAUGGGAGGUAAAUUUCUUCUAAAGCUAAAUACUGGCCAGAGACCGAUAGCGCACAAGUAGAGUGAUCGAAAGAUGAAAAGCACUUUGGAAAGAGAGUCAAAUAGCACGUGAAAUUGUUGAAAGGGAAGCGCUUGCAGCCAGACUUGCCUGUAGUUGCUUAUCCGGACUUUUGUCCGGUGCACUCUUCUGCGGGCAGGCCAGCAUCAGUUUAGGCGGUUGGAUAAAGGUCUCUAUCACGUACCUCCCUUCGGGGUUGGCCUUAUAGGGGAGACGACAUGCAGCCAGCCUGAACUGAGGUCCGCGCAUCUGCUAGGAUGCUGGCGUAAUGGCUGUAAGCGGCCCGUCUUGAAACACGGACCAAGGAGUCUAACAUCUAUGCGAGUGUUUGGGUGUCAAGCCCAGACGCGUAAUGAAAGUGAACGGAGGUGGGAACCUUUUAGGUGCACCAUCGACCGAUCCUGAUGUCUUCGGAUGGAUUUGAGUAAGAGCAUGGCUGUUGGGACCCGAAAGAUGGUGAACUAUGCUUGAAUAGGGUGAAGCCAGAGGAAACUCUGGUGGAGGCUCGCAGCGGUUCUGACGUGCAAAUCGAUCGUCAAAUUUGGGCAUAGGGGCGAAAGACUAAUCGAACUAUCUAGUAGCUGGUUCCUGCCGAUUUUCUCCU
rnacentral:rRNA from 1 species